CCUGGCUCAAGACGAACGCUGGCGGCGCGCCUAACACAUGCAAGUCGAACGAGCGAGAGAGAGCUUGCUUUCUCAAGCGAGUGGCGAACGGGUGAGUAACGCGUGAGGAACCUGCCUCAAAGAGGGGGACAACAGUUGGAAACGACUGCUAAUACCGCAUAAGCCCACGGCUCGGCAUCGAGCAGAGGGAAAAGGAGCAAUCCGCUUUGAGAUGGCCUCGCGUCCGAUUAGCUAGUUGGUGAGGUAACGGCCCACCAAGGCGACGAUCGGUAGCCGGACUGAGAGGUUGAACGGCCACAUUGGGACUGAGACACGGCCCAGACUCCUACGGGAGGCAGCAGUGGGGAAUAUUGCACAAUGGGGGAAACCCUGAUGCAGCGACGCCGCGUGGAGGAAGAAGGUCUUCGGAUUGUAAACUCCUGUUGUUGAGAAGAUAAUGACGGUACUCAACAAGGAAGUGACGGCUAACUACGUGCCAGCAGCCGCGGUAAAACGUAGGUCACAAGCGUUGUCCGGAAUUACUGGGUGUAAAGGGAGCGCAGGCGGGAAGACAAGUUGGAAGUGAAAUCCAUGGGCUCAACCCAUGAACUGCUUUCAAAACUGUUUUUCUUGAGUAGGGCAGAGGUAGGCGGAAUUCCCGGUGUAGCGGUGGAAUGCGUAGAUAUCGGGAGGAACACCAGUGGCGAAGGCGGCUUACUGGGCACCAACUGACGCUGAGGCUCGAAAGUGUGGGUAGCAAACAGGAUUAGAUACCCUGGUAGUCCACACUGUAACGAUGAUUACUAGGUGUUGGAGGAUUGACCCCUUCAGUGCCGCAGUUAACACAAUAAGUAAUCCACCUGGGGAGUACGACCGCAAGGUUGAAACUCAAAGGAAUUGACGGGGGCCCGCACAAGCAGUGGAGUAUGUGGUUUAAUUCGACGCAACGCGAAGAACCUUACCAAGUCUUGACAUCCCUUGACGAUGCUGGAAACAGUAUUUCUCUUCGGAGCAAGGAGACAGGUGGUGCAUGGUUGUCGUCAGCUCGUGUCGUGAGAUGUUGGGUUAAGUCCCGCAACGAGCGCAACCCUUAUGGUCAGUUACUACGCAAGAGGACUCUGGCCAGACUGCCGUUGACAAAACGGAGGAAGGUGGGGAUGACGUCAAAUCAUCAUGCCCUUUAUGACUUGGGCUACACACGUACUACAAUGGCGUUAAACAAAGAGAAGCAAGACCGCGAGGUGGAGCAAAACUCAGAAACAACGUCCCAGUUCGGACUGCAGGCUGCAACUCGCCUGCACGAAGUCGGAAUUGCUAGUAAUCGCAGAUCAGCAUGCUGCGGUGAAUACGUUCCCGGGCCUUGUACACACCGCCCG
rnacentral:rRNA from 1 species